UUCCACUAUAACUAACCUCAUCAAGAGGCAGAAGAUUUCCUUACCUCAAACAACAGCCUGCCAAAUGCUUCUCCGCCGCUUUCAAUAUCCAUAUAAACAAAAAUAUGCUGUGAGAAAGAGAGAUGUUGCACAUCUUGGAGGUUGCUGGUGUAAUACUCCUCAGCCAGGGCCAUAUAAAGCGCCUGUGGUCGAUGGAAAGAAAACUUCCACUCUUUCUCUGCCCAGCUGGACAGUUUCCUCUCAUCACCGAGCAACCGACCGUUUGCGAAGGACAUUAGACAGCCGGUGUACUGCCAAACAUCUCCUCUCAGCUCCUUGAAAAUUGUUUCAACUGCCCCCAAGCUGUAUCAGACCUGAGGCUGUUUUGGUGGACUUUUCUAGGGCCAGAAACCUGUCCAGCUUUUGUGCAAAAUCUGGGGGCAGAUUGUGAGGGGAUCUGUACAUCUUCAUGGUCGUACCCAGCUAUUCAUAAAGAAGCCAAAAUAAGAAAAUCAAGACCACCUUUCAGAUGAAAGGCCAGGUAAGCAUGACUGUGCCUUAUGCUUAUGCGAACUUCAUCUAAAACUCGCUCCCAUACCCACCACUUGCUCUUGUGAGCAUCAAUGGGAGUCCAGUUGUGAUACUGCUGGUGGAAGUGUUGCCUAAGAGCUUCAACUUCACGUCUGAAGCAAGAGUUGCGAAUGUUUAGGACCUGGGGGCUGUCAUGCAUUGGGCCUCUCCUCAGCACUUCUGCUGUGUCCAGUUGCAGUUCAAUCGCUAGCAUAGGAAUAAUGCUGCAGGAUUCCAGUAAUUCAGCCUGAUGCUUGGUCACAGGGAAGCCGUCCAACACAAACCUGAGGAUCAGAUACAUGUAUA